rnacentral:rRNA from 1 species
GACGAAGGAUGCAAGCGUUAUCCGGAUUCAUUGGGUUUAAAGGGAGCGUAGGUGGCCUUAUAAGUCAGUGGUGAAAUCUCUGGGCUUAACCCAGAAAUUGCCAUUGAUACUGUAGGGCUUGAGUAUAGUUGCCGUUGGCGGAAUAUGACAUGUAGUGGUGAAAUACAUAGAGAUGACAUAGAACACCGAUUGCGAAGGCAGCUGACGAAACUAUAACUGACACUGAGGCUCGAAAGUGCGGGGAUCAAACAGG